CAUGGGUGCCUUUUUUUCUGCUGCUGCCUCUUUUCAUCAAUUUUCAUUAUUCACACCCAGUCUUAGCCAUGUCUGAGUUCAACAAAGAUGUGAAGCGUUUUGGAGAAUGUGUAAAGGUAAGGUGGAAUACUUCUGAUCAGAUAUUGUUAUAUUAUACAUAAUAUAUCAUUGUGAGGUAUUCAAUGUCCUGCUUUUUACACUGUCACCAAAUAUGCUUAUUUCUUUUCUUCAUGUUGUAAUUUUGAAGCGGAAUGUUUUCACUAUUCCUUAAGCUUCAGUGAUUGCUUUCUUCAAUUUCAUUAUUAUUAUUGACCUUCAGCUCCUUUAUACAGGCUAACAAUGUAACCAGCUGUUGAUAGUUGGUGAAUUAGUGUGUGUGUGUGUGUGUGUGUGUGUGUGUGUGUGUGUGCGUGUGCGUGUGUGUGUGUGUGUGCUACGUGGCAUCUUUGUCAAUGUUGGGACAUUUGGCAUCUUGUUGGUCGACUAGCUAUCUGAUUGCCGAUGCCUCUGGUGUGACAUUGUUUCUUGCUUGGUUUGACAGAAGUGUAACGACACCUGCAGCUCAGCUCACAUUACUUCAUCUCCUCAGGAUAUAAUGUGCCAGUGUUUAAACUUCAGUGUGUCACAAGGGGAAUAUGGAUUUCUUAAUCAUUCCAUUGCUGGUCUCAAGUCCCUGCACCCAAAUAAUUCCUGCCAUAAUUCUAUUGAACCUCUGAUCUCUCAUCUGGAAGUAAUGGUGCCAUCAGAUCUGAGAUAUAUGAAGUGUUUUCUGCAUGAGAAAUAUGAGCCUUUCAUAUCACCAAAAAGCUUCCAUAAGAAACUGGAUUCCAUAAAGGAGUGCAUCAACAGCAACAUGAAUUAAGCUCAAUGAUCCGAUCCAGGAAAAGUGGAUCGUGGACCUCUAAUAAUGCCAUGGACAUCCUCAUUCUCAACAUCUGAUAUUCAGCUAUGACCCACGGCAUCAAUGACAGAAUGAUGGCAAUCAUCAGUUUGAUAACUGAAAUCUUUAAAGAAUAUUUCUCUAAUUUAUUUUCUAUAUUUUAAAAUUAUGUGGGUACAACCAUUGUGUUAAGUGAUCAUUCACAGAAGCACUGUUUUUAUUUUAUAUGUGAUGUUAAAAAGAAAUGUCAGAAGAACUUAUGUUAGACAACUUUGAAAGUUUUAUAGUACCAUCUAAAUGUAUAGGUUACCUCAAACACUGUCUCUUCUAGAAACCAUAUCUUGAUGGUAUCACGUUGCCCACACCGCCUGUCAACAGCAUUUUUUGGAUUGCAAUCUAUUUGUUAAUAAUAAUCUAUUUGUGAUAACAUUGAUGCUGAACAUAAAAUGUUCAGUUUGCAAAUGUAUGUUUUUGACCUAAUAUUUAUUUUGUUUAUUAUUCUGUCAGUGAAGACAUCAGAUAAACUUCUGUGGCUGUUAUUUGCCUCCAAAUGGCGUGAACUGUGAACAUUUGAACUUAUAAAAUGUAGU